rnacentral:lncRNA from 1 species
CCACAAUCACAACUUGCAGACUCAACAUCAUAACAAUGACCGAACCGGGUUAACCCGGUCGGUCUAUUUACCUUCAAUAACUUUUCUGAGAACAGAGACAUCAAAAUGGCUCGCAACAGUUCAACGGAUCAGGCCGCCGGUGUGACGGCGGAACGAUCUGAAGCAACCAUAUCAAUUUCCCUUCUUAGGGAAAUUACGAAGAUGGAGCAACCUUUUGGCAAACUUCGAUCGCUGGCAAUGAGAGCAAUCUUUCAAGGAAACUACCUAGAGAACAGAAAGCAGGUAAUAGACAUUAUGGCAGGACCGAUUGGACACCGAAUAGUGCAGACAGUACAACAGGAGCUAAAAGCUCCUUAUGUUUUCGUCGGAGAACCGGUCGCUUGGGAAGCUCGCAACGACGAAGGAGUCGUUGGACAGAUCAACGUCUACGUACCGGAGGAGUGGAUUACGCCCGUAAAAAACUUAGCGGACCAUUGCGGACGAAUCAAUCUAGCAGAUCUCCAUCUAGGAGAUUACCACAUUCAAGAUCUUGUAGUAGACAUAGUGGGGGCAUCUGCCCAAUACUUCAGACUGACAGGAUUACCUCCAGCAUUUCCUCAGAAAUGCCUAUUCUGGCUUAUUGCGGAAGCCUACGGCUUUGACGUAGAUGAAUAUGGAAAGAAAUGGGGGAUAGUCGAAGCUAGUCUCACUACAGCCGUGGUGUGGGUGCGAUGGGAUCAGCCCGCAUUACCCGCCAGGAUGAAUNNNNNNNNNNNNNNNNNNNNNNNNNNNNNNNNNNNNNNNNNNNNNNNNNNNNNNNNNNNNNNNNNNNNNNNNNNNNNNNNNNNNNNNNNNNNNNNNGUCCAUUGCACGCCGCCAAUCAUCUGCAUGUGGACUUGCAAUUGCUUCCGCAAACGAAUUCGGUUCAGGAAUGACAGCAGAAAAAGCAGAAUUAACACGACCAGUAACAGUGCGACCAGGCUCGUUUCGCCACCACUCGCCAGGGCGUUUACGCUCUCUAACUGGGUACCGGGUCCCUGCCAUUUCCACAUCAGGCUGAUUGUUACCUUGCACGUUCGCACUGCUGGAAGGUCCAGCCCCAGCCGGCGCCCCCUCGCCGUGGCGAAUGUGGCGAUCCGUCGCCGACGGUAUUGCCUGAUGUUCCUUCGCCAGCCCUAGGCAGCGACCCCUCACCAGGCAAGUUAGUGUGAACGUCCUCCUCCUCAUCGGCAUCGGACCCAUAAUCGGAGUCCCUAGCACUACGCCGCCGGCCGACAUUAGACUCGUCAAAGCGGACACUGGAGACCACAGCGAUGACGCCGUCCUCGUACAGUACGCGGUACUGUCCUCCAUUCCCGUAUCGGACUAGGAUUCCUCGCCUGCUUACCGGAUCGAGUUUGUCUCGCUUGACGUUGGGCACAUGAACAUAUGCAGCGCAUCAAAAGACCCGCAGAUGGCUGACAUUCGGACGAACACCAAAGAAGGCUUGAUGUGGAGUGACGGUUGACCCAGCAGUUGGCGACACGUUCCUGAGGUAGUUUGCAGUCGCCAACGCUUCCGCCCACAGUGAUUUUGGGAGUCCAGACUCUAUGAGCAUUGACCUGGCCUUGUCUAGAAGAGUGCGGUUCAGGCGUUCUGCUGCACCGUUCUGCUCAGGAGUGUAGCCCGCCGUAGUUCCGUGCAAAAAUACCCCUUGACGCGAAGUAGUUUUUCGUGCGAGUAUUCACAAACUCCCCGCCACGAUCCGUGCGCACCUCCUUUACCUGCCGACCAGAUGCCCGUUCCAGGUCCGCUAUCAUCACCACCACCUAACCUUCUGAUAUAUCUCUUCCUUGGACGCCGUAAACGCAACAGCUGACAGACCGGUGUGGCCAUCAAGAAGGGUGGUCACGUAACGCGAACCAUUUGGUGAAGGUUCAGGCAUAGGCCCACACACAUCCAUGUGAAUGAGCGCGAGAGGUAAUUACAUCCAUGUGAAUGAGCGUGAGAGGCUGCGCUGCCUUAUGCCCAGAUAACGGAAAAGGACCACGUGUAUGCCUUGCAAGGACGCAAGUCUCACACACACACGCGCUGGCUGAUUGUAUGCUGUGUCGGUCAACAUCAAAUCCAGCUACCAUAUUAUGACGCAGCAACGUCUCAAGGUUGCUGUAUCCCAAGUGGCCAUACCUUCGGUGCCAAAGUGCUGCACGUUCAGCUCCGAUACCCACGGCAGCACACACUGCAUCACCCUACUACACUCAUAUAGCAAUAUAGCAAUAUAGCAAUAUAGCAACCAUAUAGCCACAAUCACAACUUGCAGACUCAACAUCAUAACAAUGACCGAACCGGGUUAACCCGGUCGGUCUAUUUACCUUCAAUAACUUUUCUGAGAACAAAGACAUCAAAAUGGCUCGCAACAGUUCAACGGAUCAGGCCGCCGGUGUGACGGCGGAACGAUCUGAAGCAACCAUAUCAAUCUCCCUUCUUAGGGAAAUUACGAAGAUGGAGCAACCUUUUGGCAAACUUCGAUCGCUGGCAAUGAGAGCAAUCUUUCAAGGAAACUACCUAGAGAACAGAAAGCAGGUAAUAGACAUUAUGGCAGGACCGAUUGGACACCGAAUAGUGCAGACAGUACAACAGGAGCUAAAAGCUCCUUAUGUUUUCGUCGGAGAACCGGUCGCUUGGGAAGCUCGCAACGACGAAGGAGUCGUUGGACAGAUCAACGUCUACGUACCGGAGGAGUGGAUUACGCCCGUAAAAAACUUAGCGGACCAUUGCGGACGAAUCAAUCUAGCAGAUCUCCAUCUAGGAUCUUGUAGUAGACAUAGUGGGGGCAUCUGCCCAAUACUUCAGACUGACAGGAUUACCUCCAGCAUUUCCUCAGAAAUGCCUAUUCUGGCUUAUUGCGGAAGCCUACGGCUUUGACGUAGAUGAAUAUGGAAAGAAAUGGGGGAUAGUCGAAGCUAGUCUCACUACAGCCGUGGUGUGGGUGCGAUGGGAUCAGCCCGCAUUACCCGCCAGGAUGAAUAUUUUCUCCAUUGAGGAGGAUGGCCGGCGGAUUCAUAGGGGAGCGUGGAGAGCGCAACACACGUAUUACGACACACAGACUCCGGCUUUGCCCGCCCCCCCAAGAUUCAACAACGAAACCGCUUGAUACCGAAUCUCCCGCCGCCCAUUUCGGCGGCGGCAGUCAUCGCGGCGCGAGCACGGCCAAAUCUAGCGACGCCAGCGGUGGGUGAGGUAGGAGGAUCAAGUAAUGCACGUCAACCCAUGGCUACUGGACAGCCCCAGACAAUCCAGCAAAUAACUCGACAACAGCAGAUGCAAAAUCGAGUAUCCAACGAGGAGGCAACAGAAAUGGCAGGCAGAGCAGCCGCCGCCGUUGUACGAAGACAAGUACAACAACAGCAGCAACAGCAACAACAGCAACAGCAACAACAGACACAGCAACAGCAAACACAGCAGCAACAACAGCAACAGCAACAACAACGACAGAACCAGCAACCACAACAGCAACAGCAACAGAUACAGCAACAGCCGCCACAGCAGCAGCAGCGACAACAGCAGCAGCUCUCAUACACAACCACCAAUCAACCGGGACUACCGACAUCAGCUUCUAUCCCCAAAACUCACUCCAUCACGCACCCCUUACUUGGCCAACCGAUUCAAGAUGUGGCCGGAAAUAGGCCAGAUGAACAGCAAUGGCAAUUACAAAACAGACGGACGCAUCGUGGAAACCCAAUUCUGCCCACCGACCAACCUGUGCUGGGCAAGCAUGCGGACAAACCAACGUCACGCACGUCAUCUCCAGGGGUCAGUCCCCAACACAAGAGGAGGGACUCGGUAAUAAGCCCGCCCAGGUUUCAUGUUCUUCCACAUGACGACCCGGGUGACCUCAUGCAAGUCGGCGAGGAGGAGGAAGUGAGAAAUAUAGUAGUAGUCCGCGGUAAUGGGGAUACGGAAAUACCCCCUAGGUAAAUGGGGCGACGGACAAGAUGCAGGAGGCCUAAUAAUAGACCCCUUCGCAUAGCGUCCCAUAAUGUAGCAGGUUUAUUCACGCAUUCGGCAUUUACUCGUAUCCAUGCUGCGGCUAGAGUAUGGGCCCAACAUAGGUUAGAUGUCAUUUGUUUACAGGAGACACAUCAUUUGGGAGAUGGAGACCUGACAAUUCUCACUAGAGAAUUGCAAUUCGCGGCUCAGAAAAUAGGGAUACCGGGUGGGAUAUAAUAGCACAAUCCCCCACGACCAAUGCCCGGACGGCUGGAGUGUUAGUGCUAGUGCGCAAAGAUCUUUAUCGCGACUUUAAAAUAAUACAAACACCGGCACGACUACUUCCGGCUAACAUUCCCCAAGGCCGUAGCGCGUCGGUUUCGUUCACGUGGUGUGGUCACCGUAUUCAUUUGAUUAAUUUGUACCUCAUGACAUCUAGUUACUCGAUAGAUCAGAGGAAGGCGUGUGUGCAUUCUCUUGGCGAUGUGGUAAAUAGGAUAGGACAGGAUGAUCAUUUGCUUUGGGCUGGAGAUUUUAAUUUUGUCCAUAAUCCGAUGCUAGAUUCCACCACAGGAGAAGGGAGUAGACCCGCGGACUUAUCCUUAGCCAAGGCUUUCUCCGAAUGCUGCCCGGAUAUGGUAGACACAUAUCGCUACCUCCACCCUACCCGUCGCGACCUUUCGUUUUUCUAUAAAACAAGUGUGUCGGGAGGGUCACGUCUUGAUCGAAUCUAUACUUCCACAAACCUCACCCCCUUCAUCGCUUCCUCUACCAUUCCAGUGUGCACUUCGACAGACCAUCGUUUAGCUAUUAUUGCUCUUNN